AUACUUACCUGGUAUGGGAGACACCAUGAUCAAGCAGGUGGUUUUCCCAGUGCAAGGCUCAUCCCCUGCACUAUUGGUUUUGUUUGGGUUUUUUUGUAAGAUCAUGGAGCAGAUCCUCCUGAAAGGUAGUUCAAAACAUAUGGAAGACAACGAGGUGA
rnacentral:snRNA from 10 species